GCUGCCGGGCUGUCACAAAUUGACAGGCCCCCUGCUCGGGCCUUCUCCACGAGCUCGGGCCCUUCAAGGCUGGACGUGAUUGACAGGCCCUCGGGCCCUUUGUUCUCCACUGUCCCCCGGCCUAUUGACAAGGCUGGAACUGCUCUAAAUUGUGAUUUUUCGUUUAUAACCGUCGAAAACUUUUAUUCCGUUACGUAAUCUCUGAAUGUUUAUUUUUUAUGAUUUUUUACGUAUGCAAUCUCGAAAUGUGUACAAAUAAGUUUGAUGGUUGGAUCGUUAAAAAAAGUUUCGUAGAAUGCAUAUUGCGUCAAAAUAGUAGAUUAAACAAACACUUAAAGUUAAUAUUAUACUUCAAUUAAGUAUAAAAAAAGUUUUUGUGGUAUCCACUAGUGUAAAUACUUUAAAUUAAAGAUCAAAUUUAUUCAUUAGAUUCUUAUAGGGUCAAGGAGUGUAUCUGUUAAAAAUCAGCAAAAUCAGAGCUCAAAUAACCGUUAAAUUGUGAUUUUUCGUUUAUAACCGUCGAAAACUUUUGUUCCGUUAUGUAAUCUCUGAAUGUUUGUUUUUUAUGAUUUUUUACGUAUGCGAUCUCGGAAUGUGUAUAAUAAGUUUGACGGUUGGAUCGUUGAAAAAAGUUUUGUAGAAUGCAAAUUGCGUCAAAACAGUAGAUUAAACAAACACUUAGAGUUAAUAUUAUACUUCUAUUAAGUACAAAAUAAGUUUUUGUGGUAUCCACUAGUGUAAAUACUUUAAAUUAAAGAUCAAAUUUAUUUAUUACAUUCUUAUAGGGUCGAGGAGUGUAUCUGUAAAAAAUCAUCAAAAUCGGAGCUAAAAUAACCGUUAAAUUGUGAUUUUUCGUUUAUAACCGUCGAAAACUUUUGUACCAUUACGUAAUCUCUGAAUGUUUAUUUUUUAUGAUUGUUUACGUAUGUGAUCUCGGAAUGUGUACAAAUAAGUUUGACGGUUUGAUCUUUGAAAAAAGUUUCGUAGAAUGCAUAUUGCAUCAAAACGGUAUAUUAAACAAACACUUAGAGUUAAUAUUAUACUUCUAUCAAGUAUAAAAUAAGUUUUUGUGGUAUCCACUAGUGUAAAUACUUUAAAUUAAAGAUCAAAUUUAUUCAUUACAUUCUUAUAGGGUCGAGGAGUGUAUAUGUAAAAAAUCAUCAAAAUCGGAGCUCAAAUAACCAUUAAAUUGUGAUUUUUCGUUUAUAACCGUCGAAAACUUUUGUUCCGUUACGUAAUCUCUGAAUGUUUUUUUUUUAUGAUUUUUUACGUAUUCGAUCUCGGAAUGUGUACAAAUAAUCUUGAUGGUUGGAUCGUUGAAAAAAGUUUUGUAGAAUGCAUAUUGCGUCAAAACAGUAGAUUAAACAAACACUUAGAGUUAAUUUAUACUUCUAUUAAGUAUAAAAUAAGUUUUUGUGGUAUCCACUAGUGUAAAUACUUUAAAUUAAAUAUCAAAUUUAUUCAUUACAUUCUUAUAGGUCGAGGAGUCUAUCUGUAAAAAAAUCAUCAAAAUCGGAGAUAAAAUAGCCGUUAAAUUAUGAUUUUUCGUUUAUAACCGUCGAAAACUUUUGUUCCAUUACGUAAUCUCUGAAUGUUUGUUUUUUACGAUUUUUUACGUAUGCGAUCUCGGAAUGUGUACAAAUAAGUUUGACGGUUGGAUUGUUGAAAAAAGUUUCAUAGAAUGCAUAUUGCGUCAAAACGGUAGAUUAAACAAACACUUAGAGUUAAUAUUAUACUUCUAUUAAGUAUAAAAUAAGUUUUUGUGGUAUCGACUAGUGUAAAUACUUUAAAUUAAAGAUCAAAUUUAUUCAUUACAUUCUUAUAGGGUCGAGGAGUGUAUUUGUAAAAAAUCAUCCAAAUCGAAGCUAAAAUAACCGUUAAAUUGUGAUUUUUCGUUUAUAACCGUCGAUAACUUUUGUUACUUUACGUAAUCUCUAAAUGUUUGUUUUUUACGAUGUUUUUUUGCGUAUGCAAUCUUGGAAUGUGUACAAAUAAGUUUGACGGUUGGAUCGUUGAAAAAAGUUUUUGGACAGCCAGCAAUAGAUAAUUUUGUAGUAGUGAAACCUUAAAUUUAUUUAACCGUCAAUUGUCAUUUACGCUUUAUUCUUUUUACUGAAUUUCAUUUUUAAAACUUUAUUUUUUGAAAACAUGAUCAUCUGGCGGAUGUAAGACGAUGAUAUCACGUUUCGAUAUUUACGGUUAAUUGAAAUAUGAGUCAAUAUCAUAUAAUUUGUAGAAACUUUAUAAACAUCAAGCAAUAUUUUCACUAACCGUAAAACUCUAAAUAUAAUAUCAACGAUCCAAACCUUUCAUCUACCUGCACCCUCUAAUAGAUCAUGUUUUCAAAAAAGAAAAUCUAAAAAAACAAAAUUUGAUGAGAACAAUGAAACAUAAAUGUAAACAACAAUCAACGGUUAAAUUUUGAUCUAUGAUUUAUAUGAUUAUAGUGGCGAAUUUCGAAGUUAAGCUCUUCAUGAAAGUUAUAAAGCUUGUCAUUACGAGUGUUUAUAUAUUUUUUUCUAUAUUUUUUUACAAUUCUACAUUAAUUAAAAAACUAUUAAAGACUUUAAGUAAGCGAAAAUAUACUUAAAACAAAAUUGCGUUUUUAUGUUUUGUGACACACCUUGAUCCGGAAUGUCUACUAGGACUCCGAAUCGAGCUAUGCUGGCCACUACUUGGAAGGUGACGAAUCCAUAAAGUGAUGAUAUGGAAAGAUGCGAAUAAAUUUAAACCUAAAGGUGCCUAAAUAACAGAGUGCAUUGUGCGUGGGUAUGAACCCAAAUCACACGUGAUGUCAGAGCAUAGUCAAGUACAGCAAUGUAGGUAGAAACCAUACCCACAAAAAUAGCCACCUUAACAGGGACAUGCCACGAAUCCUCGUCGAUAAGGAACUUUGCUACUAGAACCUGAAGGGGCGCAAAACAGAAAACAUGAGUGGGCGAAAAUAAAGCUUUUCAAGAAUAUCUCAUUUAUCAACAUUCAUAACCCCUCGCUGAAAAACCUGUAUACUUUCCCAGAAAAUAAUUUAUAUAACCAUAUAUAUAAGCAAAUAUCUCAAAUCACAAUCCUUUAAGAAAAUAUGCCAUGCAAUGCAUUGAAACAUAAUAUGGAUGCAUCAAUAUAAAUCAGGUGAAAUGAUAAAUCAACUGGAGACCCUGCAGCUGGUCCUGUACGGUUAAUUUUAUAGUUCAAUGUCCAAUCCAACCGGAGUCACCAACUGUGACCUGUAUGGCACUACUCUGCACAUAAAUCGGAACUACCUGAAGUAGUCUGUACGAUAAGAAUGGUGUAAGAAUACGCUCUAGUGCUUCUCUCAUCAACAGCUGUAUAAUAAUCUAAAGUCACCUACAGUCGGAACCACCUCUCAUGGUCUGUACGACAUGUCGGAACCCUCUAUUGGUCUGUACGACAUGCACGUACUUGGAUCCAAGGUGAGCGUAUGGUGUGGGGUGAAUAAUAUAAGCACUACCACCAGGGGUGCAGGUUAUGAGCUCUCAACACAAAUCACA
rnacentral:lncRNA from 1 species